rnacentral:lncRNA from 1 species
GUAAACAAGUUGAGGGGAGCAACGGAAACAGUGCUGUAAACUGGAAACAUGCCACACCGCGGAACUGCAUAUCCCAGUUUUUUCUAUGGUGAUGUUUGUCCAUAGAACUGAGUUGCGGCCGAAAGAGUGUGAAAGAAAGUGAUGUGCACUAUUUUGGGCCUGGCUAAUACGUAUUUCCCACAUGCCAUUGAUUCUCCUCUCUUCCCUUGCCUGCUUGCUAUAUGAAGACGCCUGGACAAACUUGAAUGCCGCAGGCUACAGAAGUCAGUCUUUAUUCCUGAAUGACUGUAUGGAGCAGAUCCCCAGCCUCAUCUCACUGCUGCCACCAAGGUUCAGAUUCAUACAACUGGGAAAACUAUCCUCUACUGUAUUACGCUGUUAAAAUUUCAAGGCUUAUCUCUCACAGCAUUUAGCAUCACUUCAGUUAAUGUAGAGAGAGUCAGCAGACAAAUAAAUCUGAAGUAUAAUAUCAGCUAGUGCUAAGUGCAAUGCAGAAGAGCGAAUCAGGGGCUGGGCACGGUGGCUCACGCCUGUAAUCCCAGCACUUUGGGAGGCCAAGAUGGGCAGAUAGCGAGGUCAGGAGAUCGAGACCAUCCUGGCUAACACGGUGAAACCCCAUCUCUACUGAAAAUACAAAAAAAUUAGUCGGGAGUGGCGGGGGGCGCCUGUAGUCCCAGCUACUCGGGAGGCUGAGGCAGGAGAAUGGCGUGAACCCGGAAGGCGGAGCUUGCAGUGAGCCGAGAUUGCACCACUGCACUCCAGCCUGGGGGACAGAGCGAGACUUCGUCUCAAAAAAAAAAAAAAAAAAA